rnacentral:rRNA from 1 species
GCGAUCAUACUAGCACUAAUGCACCUGAUCCCAUCAAAACUUUGAAGUUAAGUGUCCUUGGAUGAGACUCCAGUACUAGGAUGAGUGGUCGCCUAGGAAGUCCUUGUGUUACACCU